AACGAACGCUGGCGGCAGGCCUAACACAUGCAAGUCGAGCGAAGCCUUCGGGCUUAGCGGCGGACGGGUGAGUAACGCGUGGGAACGUGCCCUUUGGUACGGAAUAGCCCCGGGAAACUGGGAGUAAUACCGUAUGUGGUCGAGAGACGAAAGAUUUAUCGCCAAAGGAUCGGCCCGCGUUGGAUUAGGUAGUUGGUGGGGUAAUGGCCUACCAAGCCGACGAUCUAUAGCUGGUUUGAGAGGAUGAUCAGCCACACUGGGACUGAGACACGGCCCAGACUCCUACGGGAGGCAGCAGUGGGGAAUCUUAGACAAUGGGGGAAACCCUGAUCUAGCCAUGCCGCGUGAUCGAUGAAGGCCUUAGGGUUGUAAAGAUCUUUCAGUGGGGAAGAUAAUGACUGUACCCACAGAAGAAGCCCCGGCUAACUCCGUGUCAGCCGCCGCCGUAAAAC
rnacentral:rRNA from 1 species